AAACUUUCAACAACGGAUCUCUUGGUUCUGGCAUCGAUGAAGAACGCAGCGAAAUGCGAUACGUAAUGUGAAUUGCAGAUUUCAGUGAAUCAUCGAAUCUUUGAACGCACAUUGCGCCCGCUAGUGUUCUGGCGGGCAUGCCUGUUCGAGCGUCAUUU
rnacentral:rRNA from 1 species